UAAGGCAAACAGCUGGUAUCAUCCGGCCUUGCCAUAUUAGGUUUGUCCUGUGAAAGUGGAGGGGGUCGGUCGGCCGGGCCGGGGGGCCGAGUGCACUCACUCGCUAGUUGACUCUCGCCCAGUGAACACCCUCACACUCGCCGCUCUCGUGGCCUUCCUCCCCCUCUGGAUAACCCCCCAGUGUUUUAGCAGUCUAUAGUAUGGCGUACCACGGUCCCUCCUACGGCCUCAGCAGGGAGUGUCAGAUGAAGAGCCAGGCCAAGUUCGACCUGCAGCGUGCCCGGGAGGCGUGUGAGUGGGUGGAGGCGGUGACGGAGGUGCCCCUGGACUGGCCCACCUCCGACGGCCUCAUCGACCAGCUGGCCUUCGGGCACGCCCUUAAGGACGGCAUCGCCCUCUGCACGUUGCUGAACCACCUUCAACCUGGCUCUGUCAAGAGAGUGAACACAAUGAAGGCUCCCUUCAAACAGAGAGAGAACGUCGAGAUGUUCCUGAAGGGCUGUGAGGCUUACGGCCUCAAGAGUCAAGACCUCUUCCAAGUGAACGACCUCUACGAGAACCGGAACCUCUACAUGGUUGUGGACUGUCUGUAUGCUCUAGGAGGACUCGCCCAAAAAAGGAGCUUCGAUGGACCUGUGAUAGGUGUGAAGGUUGCCAUGGAGAACAAGAGGAACUUUUCGGAGGAGAAGCUAAAAGAGUCGCACAAGAUCAUUGGGCUACAGUAUGGCAGUAAUAAGGGAGCAUCGCAGGCGGGUAUGACGGCGUAUGGCACUGGAAGGCAAAUCAUCCCUGGAGAAGCCCAAAAGCAAGUGACAGUGGAUGGCCAGAAAAUCAUUGGCCUUCAGUCUGGGAGCAACAAAGGGGCGUCGCAGGCUGGCAUGACACCUUAUGGAGCUCCUCGUCAAAUUAUCCCUGAUGGUCAUCACAGGAAUCGUGAGUGAAGGCUCCUGCUCCACAGGAAGCACAGAUAUGAGUGGACAGGCAUCAGUCCUUGUUCAGUUGUGAUAUCACGAGCGGUAGAGUGUGGUCACGUACGUGUCUAGCAGACCCACCCUGCACCCUCCCCCUAGAACACUGGUGUUGAUUUUUGUUUUCAGAAUACUGAUAUUUAUCUCUCCAGAUCAUGGAUGUCCUUGUAUAAUUACUCAAGACUCAUAUUUUGGCUUGAUGACAUCCUUCUCUUAGUCAGUCAUUUUAAAUUUUAUUAACUAUUUUGUUGCACUAUUUUCCACUCAUGCAAUGUAGUUAUUUUAUUUUACUUACAAUUGUUUGAAGAGUAAAUGAUGAUUAAAAACAAUAGAAAAAGGCUGUAAAUUUUUAAAGAUGCGUUUAUUUUUGCUGAGCUAUAUUUAUGCUAUAGACCAAAUUAUUUACAAAUACUGUUUUGUCAAGUAUAUAUCCAGCAAAAUCUAAUGAAACUGCUUAUACAGUACAGUACAGUAGUUAUGUAAGUUUGAAGCUCAUGUCAAAUUUAAGCUAUUAUAUUUUUUAAUAUUUUAAAUAUAAAAUGAAGCUUGUUUUUCUAAAAAGUAACAGAUGAGACUUUUAACAUCCAGUCACAGUAAAAUCCACAAAUAAUAAUAUAUUCAUUUAUUGCAAGAAGCUUAUAUAUAAUAAAUAUUUGUUCCCCCUGCAAUAGAACGUUAAGUGGUAUUUUCUUCAGUUUCUUGUUGCUGAUAUUAUUGUAAUUAGAAUUUCCUAUUAAGACUAAUUGUAUAUUAAUUACAUGCACAUUAUCCUGAUCCUUAUAACUUUGUAUUAUAAAUUUUUCUUCUGGAAUCUUAAUUCAUUUAGCCUUCUGAGUUUCCAUGUACUUGAAAUACUUGCCUUGGUUUUAUUACAAGAUAAUUUUAUGAAUAAUUGAAAUAUAAUACUGUACCAUGAAACACCAUACAUGUCCACCAUAUGUUGCUAGUGUUUGCUGAAGAUAGUACCAUUUGAGCCCACCAUACGUUGCCAGUGGUAGCCAAAGAUGGUACUAUUUUAUUUCUGACACUUUUCAUUGCUUUUUUUCUUUUUCAUUUUAGAUCUGCUCUAAUACAAAGCUCAAAGCAAAUAUCACCCUGAAGACUGAAGCAAUGGCGUAUAUGUGCUGCAUAGAACUAGAAAUCAAUUUUCAAAUAUUGGUUCUGUUUUGCAUUUAAGUUAUUGGCAUCCUAAAUGGUAUCUAGGAACUCUUGAAUAUUCUGUAACAUACAGUGCUAUAUAGCUUUCUAUGCUUAGCACUUUCUUUUGAUAAUUACUUGCAUUUAAGUCAGAAUUUUGUACAUUGUUACAAAUUCCAUGAGAGAUUGGGGGUUUGUUAGGCUUGGCAAGAAGAUUCCAGCUGACUCUUCGUGUUGAGGGUUCGUCAGUAUCCAGUCAAAAUGGUUGUUUCUUUAGAUAUUAUAUAUACUAGCAAGUCUUCAAUCCACAUCCUGACUGAUAAUGUCUUUCAUUGGAAUUUUUAACGUGUAUAUAAUAUUACUGUGUUCCCGAGUCCAUUUAUAUUGAAUAAAUGUAUAUUUUUGUUUUAAACAGCCAGAAGACUUUAUUUGCUUUAAUUGCAUUACCUGUAAUUGAACUGUUUAACUUUUAGUAAUUUUUAAUAUUACCUUCAUUACAACAAAAAUGUAUAACGGUAGGUAUAGCACAUGAUUUAUAUUUUCAGUUCUGUACAAUUGUUUCAUAUCAUUAGCAUUAUACUAUUCUAAUUGGUUAAAAGGGGUUAUCACAUUUAAAUGAACAUAAUAUUAAUUACUAGUGUUAAGUCUUGAAGAGUCUUCUAUCAUAAGAUUUUUAUAAUGCCCUAAAAUUUUACUAAUGAAAGUUAAGUGUUUUUACUGUGGUUCUCAAUAAACAUUUGGCUGGUA